UCCCUCUCUCUUUUCUAACCAAAAUCUAAGAAAGGCGAGAGUUUUCCUCUCACUUCACCCCCAACCAAAUUGAUGACUUCAAGCUUGAUCAAAACCCUAACCCGCACUCAAAAAUGGCAAUCGAAGCUGGGGAUUGUGUAGUCUCUCAAGAUUUGGCAUUUAGGUUGAGCAUUGUGCCUUAGUUUGAACGCAUGCUGGAGAGCUGAGUUUAUUUUCGAUGACGAGGGUUUUAAUUCUCACUUCACCGGUUUCGAGGCUGCAAGAUUUCAAGAGGAAGUUACAUGAUGGCCUAUGCUAAGUCUAUUGAUGUUAUGCCAUCAAGAGAUCAAUGGGAGCCAUAUGACAAGGAUUUCACAAUUAGAACCUCACAUGCAAAGAGGCCUGUAGGAAGGCCAAAAAAGAAGAGAAUGAGGGGAAGGGAUGAAACUGAACCUAAGCAAGUUGAUAAAAGAAAGCACACGUGCACAAGAUGUGGAGCUUUGGGUCAUCAUAAGAGCACUUGCAGGCAACCUCUAAAAAGAAACCAAAUUCCUCAAUAGCAAUCUCAAGCUUCAGGAAGAGGACAUGCACAAGAACAACCAUCAAAAGCUAGUACGAUAAGGUGAUGUAUAAUGCUGAAUGCAACAACAUAAGGUUAUAUGAAUUACAUUUAUUUACAUUAACUUGUUGUAAGCUUGGUGAGUCAAGCUCAAGAAUGAACAAGUUACAAGCUAUUAGAAGUAGAGGAAGAGCUCUAGCAUCAGGUAAAGGAACAAGACCUCCAACAUCAGAUCCAACAACAGCUCAUAUUGCAUCAGCUUAUCAUGCAAUACCACCACCAUCACCACUACCAGUAGCUUACCACUUCAAGAUUAUCAUGCAUUAGGUCCACCUAUAGCAGCUGCAGCUCAAGCAUCAACUCAAGCAUCAACUCAAGCAUCAUCAAAUCAAUUAUCGGUGAACCAGCCUACUCAAUCAUCAACAACAUCAGGGCUUAGCAAAGUCAUAUGGAAAUAGUUUGAUGAGAUAUUGUGUGACAUUUUGCAAACAUUGUCAUCUUCUUGUGAAUUAUACGUGUUAUCAAACAAAGAAAAUUUCACUUGGUACUUAGUUAUGUAAG